rnacentral:tRNA from 1 species
GCUCAGUAGCUCAGUUGGGUAGAGCAUGGUGCUGAUAACACCAAGGUCUCAGGUUCGAUCCCCAGAUGAGACA